GAGCAGGAGGAGGAGGCAGUGAAGGAUGAGCAGGAGGAGGCAGUGAAGGAUGAGCAGGAGGAGGAGGCAGUGAAGGAUGAGCAGGAGGAGGAGGCAGUGAAGGAUGAGCAGGAGGAGAGUUUGGUGUGCGGGGUGGUUGGGGCGUCCCUCUGGCGAGCAUCCCGGACCGUGACGACGGAGACUCGACUGCAGCGGAGCCAUGGCCGCGGACAUCCUUUGGGUCUCCUGCGCCGACUUCACGGCCGAGGUCGGCCGCGGGCAGAUCGAGGAGUUUCUCAGCGACGUGGCAGCGCUCCCCUCUGUGGCUUCACUGCACCGAGUUUGUGUGCGAGGAGCGCCGCUGGUGGGGGCGGCGGUGCCGCUACGGCGUCACCUGGAGCCUGCCGGCGCCGGCAGCGCCCAUCCCCAGCGCCACGGCGCGGACAAACUUCAACAUCCUCGUGCACAGCGGCAGGGCGCCGGACUCCCCUGUUGAGGUCUCCUUCACCUUCGAGGGCAGCGGCCUCAUCCACAGGCCGGGGCGCUCCGUGUUCCGCGAGCGUUGGCUCAGCGACAUCGUGGACAGCAAGAGGCUCAUCCUGGAGACGCGCUGCCUGACACCGCCAACAACAACAGCAGCAACAACAGCGGCAACAACAACAACAGCAGCCAUUCAACACUGAACGCCACCACCA